GCGGUUGUGGCGAAGUGGUUAACGCACCGGAUUGUGGCUCCGGCACGCAUGGGUUCGACUCCCAUCAAUCGCC
rnacentral:tRNA from 1 species